rnacentral:rRNA from 1 species
CACGUAGGGUGCGAGCGUUGUCCGGAAUUAUUGGGCGUAAAGAGCUCGUAGGCGGUGUGUCGCGUCGGCCGUGAAAACCUGCAGCUUAACUGUGGGCUUGCGGUCGAUACGGGCAUCACUGGAGUUCGGCAGGGGAGACUGGAAUUCCUGGUGUAGCGGUGAAAUGCGCAGAUAUCAGGAGGAACACCGGUGGCGAAGGGCGGUCUCUUGGCAACAACUGGCGCUGAGGAGCGGAAGCGGGGGGAGCGAACAGG